rnacentral:rRNA from 1 species
AUUGAACGCUGGCGGCAGGCCUAACACAUGCAAGUCGAACGAGUGGCGGACGGGUGAGUAAUGUCUGGGAAACUGCCUGAUGGAGGGGGAUAAAUAAUGGAAACGGUAGCUAAUACCGCAUACCAUCAGAUGUGCCCAGAUGGGAUUAGCUUGUUGGUGGGGUAACGGCUCACCAAGGCGACGAUCCCUAGCUGGUCUGAGAGGAUGACCAGCCACACUGGAACUGCGACACGGUCCAGACUCCUACGGGAGGCAGCAGUGGGGAAUAUUCCACAAUGGGCGCAAGCCUUAUGCAGCCAUGCCGCGUGUAUGAAGAAGGCCUUCGGGUUGUAAAGUACUUUCGGCGGGGAGGCGUUGCCCUCAGAAGAAGCACCGGCUAACUCCGUGCCAGCAGCCGCGGUAAUUC